UACGGGGGGGGCAAGCGUUGUUCGGAAUUACUGGGCGUAAAGGGCUCGUAGGUGGCCAACUAAGUCAGACGUGAAAUCCCUCGGCUUAACCGGGGAACUGCGUCUGAUACUGGAUGGCUUGAGUUCGGGAGAGGGAUGCGGAAUUCCAGGUGUAGCGGUGAAAUGCGUAGAUAUCCGGAGGAACACCGGUGGCAAAGGCGGCUUCCUGGACCGACACUGACGCUGAGGCGCGAAAGCUAGGGGAGCAAACAGG
rnacentral:rRNA from 1 species